rnacentral:lncRNA from 1 species
UCCCCUUCCCAAUUUUCCCUCCACAAACUCCCUAUCCCAUACCCCUUCAUCCCCUGCUUUUAUGAGGGAGUUCCCCCACUCAUCCAUCCACUCCCACCUCACCCACUUAGCAUUCCCCUAUGCUGUAGCAUCAAGACUCCCCUGGACCAAGGGCCUCCCCUCCCAUUGAUGCCAUACCCAGCAAGAGCCAUGGGUCCCUCCAUGUAUACUCUUUGAUUGGUGGUUUAGUCCCUGAGAGCUCUGGGGUGUCUGGUUGGUUGAUAUUGUUGUUCCUCCUAUGGGGUUGCAAACCGCUUCAGCUCCUUCAGUCCUUUCUCUAACUUCUCCAUUGGGGACCCCGUGCUCAGUCCUAUGCAUGCAUUGCAUCUGUAUUGGUCAAGGUCUGGCAGAGUCUCUCAAGGAACAGCCAUACCGGGCUCCUGUCAGAAAGCACUUCUUGGCAUCAGCAAUAGUAUCUGGGUUUGGUGUCUGCAGAUGGGAUGGAUUUCUAGGUGGGACAUUCUCUGGAUGACCUUUCCUUCAGUCUCUGCUCCAGUCUUUGUCCCUGCUUUACCUGGUGACUCCCAAGGGAACCAGCCAGCCCACAGUAGGUCUACGUUGUCAGGCUACACUAGAUGUGUAGCUUCUGGCUGAGUUUCCUUAGGGAGUUUUUCCACAAACAAGCCCAUCUGUACCGUCUCCAAAUGCCCUAUUACUAGUUCUGCUCAAACAGUUGUUGCACUGGCCCAGCCUGGAACAGGCCAGACUCUCACACCAAACACAUAAAAAAAGUAAGAUGUGGGCAUGCUGAAGUCAUAUCUUAGAAGUAAAAACAAUAUGAACAGUCAAAACAGCAUCUUCAAUGCACCGAAUCCUGAAGAUGUCAUUACCACAUGUUCUCCAGUAUACUGG